ACUAAAAUGUAUUUAAUUUUUAAUUUACCAGUAGCUUUGUUUUAGAACACUAUCACAUGAUAAAAGUAAAACACAGCAGACCUUUGUGACUUAACCACAAUAUGUUCCAGAAGGCUGGUCAACUUUUGAUUUGUCACAAUUUCUAACCAUGUCCAAAUUGAGAAUCAUGGAUUUAGAAAUUAUUAAUUAAAGGAGUCUAACCUUCCCCUUUUAAAAACAGAUAAAAACCUUUCAGAUAAAAAUGCAGCCCUACCGGAUGGGUCGUGUCCCGGGUUAACAACAUCCGCCACCGAUGCCUGUGGAAAUUCAGCUACUGUGGGUCGAAGACGAAGGAGAGGUGGAAAGCGGGUUCUUACUCAGAAAGAGAAGUGGAAAGAACAGAGCCUAGAACUGAACGUAGGAUGUGACAAAGAGGGGAAAGAGAAAUUCUGGAAGGAGCUGGACGAAGUAGUUCUGAGCAUCCCAGACGGAGAGAGAGAGAGUCGUGAUUGGUGCAGAUUGUAAUGGACAUGUUGGCGUAGGAAACGGGGGGGAAAAAAAUAAUACUAUUCAUCUUAUGUCAAAAUGAUGGAUGGCUGGAAGUGAUGUCAUCACCGGGUGCCGGAAGUUGUGUUGUUGUCGGAAGGAAGUUAGAUGUGACAUCAUCACAUGUUGCCGGAAAUGUACCGGAAGUGAUGUCAUCGUCAUCGUGUGGUGCCGGAAGUGACCUCCCACCCUCAGGAAGAAAGGGAAGUCAUGAGACUUUCAUACCUAAACUUCCGGAAUUCCAAGGUCUCCAUCCCAUCCCCCACAUGCAUACGUUACAGCCAAUAUAUUUCCAAGUUAUUUCAAAAACCUGCUAAGGUUACUUUUGCCAUUAACUGGAUUUUUUUAUUUUUUAUUUAUUAUCAACCGCAAUAUCAUGUCAAAAUGAGUAUACAGUACGUAUAAAUAGUCUAGUUAGCCUUGACCUAAGCAUAACAGAUGUUCUCAAAACGGGGAUAUGACGAUACAGUAUGAUCAAAAAGUUGUAUUAUGUUCCGAAGUGAAUUUUCCUAAUGUUUUCUAUGAAAAAUAAAACUCAAUCAGUAAUUAA